rnacentral:siRNA from 1 species
AGCCGGCGCAGAGAAUUACUAGGG